rnacentral:rRNA from 1 species
GACGAACGCUGGCGGCGUGCUUAACACAUGCAAGUCGAACGGAAAGGCCCUGCUUUUGUGGGGUGCUCGAGUGGCGAACGGGUGAGUAACACGUGAGUAACCUGCCCUUGACUUUGGGAUAACUUUAGGAAAAUGGGGCUCAUACCGGAUAGGAGCUCCUGCUGCAUGGUGGGGGUUGGAAAGUUUCGGCGGUUGGGGAUGGACUCGCGGCUUAUCAGCUUGUUGGUGGGGUAGUGGCUUACCAAGGCUUUGACGGGUAGCCGGCCUGAGAGGGUGACCGGCGACAUUGGGACUGAGAGACGGCCCAGACGCCUACGGGAGGCAGCAGUGGGGAAUAUUGCGCAAUGGGCGGAAGCCUGAUGCAGCAACGCCGCGUGCGGGAUGACGGCCUUCUGGUUGUAAACCGCUUUCGCCGGUGACGAAGCGUGAGUGACGGUAAUGGGUAAAGAAGCACCGGCUAACUACGUG